rnacentral:rRNA from 1 species
CGCUUUGUGGUCCAACUGAUUUGAAGAGCUUGCUCAGAUAUGACGAUGGACAUUGCAAAGAGUGGCGAACGGGUGAGUAACACGUGGGAAACCUACCUCUUAGCAGGGGAUAACACUUGGAAACAAGUGCUAAUACCGUAUAACACUAAUAACCGCAUGGUUAUUAGUUAAAAGAUGGUCUUGCUAUCACUAAGAGAUGGUCCCGCGGUGUAUUAGCUAGUUGGUAAGGUAAUGGCUUACCAAGGCAAUGAUACAUAGCCGAGUUGAGAGACUGAUCGGCCACAAUGGGACUGAGACACGGCCCAUACUCCUACGGGAGGCAGCAGUAGGGAAUCUUCCACAAUGGACGAAAGUCUGAUGGAGCAACGCCGCGUGUGUGAUGAAGGGUUUCGGCUCGUAAAACACUGUUGUAAGAGAAGAAUGACAUUGAGAGUAACUGUUCAGUGUGUGACGGUAUCUUACCAGAAAGGAACGGCUAAAUACGUGCCAGCAGCCGCGGUAAUACGUAUGUUCCAAGCGUUAUCCGGAUUUAUUGGGCGUAAAGCGAGCGCAGACGGUUAUUUAAGUCCGAAGUGAAAGCCCACAGCUUAACUGUGGAAGUGCUUUGGAAACUGGAUAACUUGAGUGCAGUAGAGGAGAGUGGAACUCCAUGUGUAGCGGUGAAAUGCGUAGAUAUAUGGAAGAACACCAGUGGCGAAGGCGGCUCUCUGGACUGUAACUGACGUUGAGGCUCGAAAGUGUGGGUAGCAAACAGGAUUAGAUACCCUGGUAGUCCACACCGUAAACGAUGAGUGCUAGAUGUUUGAGGGUUUCCGCCCUUAAGUGUCGCAGCUAACGCAUUAAGCACUCCGCCUGGGGAGUACGACCGCAAGGUUGAAACUCAAAGGAAUUGACGGGGACCCGCACAAGCGGUGGAGCAUGUGGUUUAAUUCGAAGCAACGCGAAGAACCUUACCAGGUCUUGACAUCCUUUGACCACUUCAGAGAUGAAGCUUUCCCUUCGGGGACAAAGUGACAGGUGGUGCAGGGUUGUCGUCAGCUCGUGUCGUGAGAUGUUGGGGUUAAGU